CCUACGGGAGGCUGCAGUGGGGAAUAUUGCACAAUGGGGGAAACCCUGAUGCAGCGACGCCGCGUGAAGGAAGAAGUAUUUCGGUAUGUAAACUUCUAUCAGCAGGGAAGAAAAUGAUGGUACCUGACUAAGACGCCCCGGCUAACUACGUGCCAGCAGCCGCGGUAAUACGUAGGGGGCAAGCGUUAUCCGGAUUUACUGGGUGUAAAGGGAGCGUAGGCGGUAGUGCAAGUCAGAAGUGAAAGCCCGGGGCUCAACUCCGGGACUGCUUUUGAAACUGUGUUGCUAGAUUGCAGGAGAGGUAAGUGGAAGUCCUAGUGUAGCGGCGAAAUGCGUAGAUAUUAGGAAGAACACCAGUGGCGAAGGCGGCUUACUGGACUGUAAAUGACGCUGAGGCUCGAAAGCGUGGGGAGCAAACAGGAUUAGAUACCCGGGUAGUC
rnacentral:rRNA from 1 species